GACGAACGCUGGCGGCGUGCCUAAUACAUGCAAGUUGAGCGCUGAAGGUUGGUACUUGUACCAACUGGAUGAGCAGCGAACGGGUGAUUAACGCGUGGGGAAUCUGCCUUUGAGCGGGGGACAACAUUUGGAAACGAAUGCUAAUACCGCAUAAAAACUUUAAACACAAGUUUUAAGUUUGAAAGAUGCAAUUGCAUCACUCAAAGAUGAUCCCGCGUUGUAUUAGCUAGUUGGUGAGGUAAAGGCUCACCAAGGCGAUGAUACAUAGCCGACCUGAGAGGGUGGUCGGCCCAAUUGGGACUGAGACACGGCCCAAACUCCCACGGGAGGGAGCAGUAGGGAAUCUUCGGCAAUGGACGAAAGUCUGACCGAGGAACGCCGCGGGAGUGAAGGAGGGUUUCGGAUCGGAAAACUCUGUUGGUAGAGAAGAACGUUGGUGAGAGUGGAAAGCUCAUCAAGUGACGGUAACUACCCAGAAAGGGACGGCUAACUACGUG
rnacentral:rRNA from 1 species